GCCAGGCAUGGUGGCUCAUGCCUGUAAUCCCAGCACUUUAGGAGGCUGAGGUGGGUGGAUUGCUGGAGCUCAGGAAUUUGAGAUCAGCCUGGGCAACAAGGCAAAAUUCCAUCUCUACAAAAAGUACAAAAAUUAGCUGGGCCUGGUGGUGCAUGCCUGUAGUCUCAGCUACUUGGGAGGCUGAGAUGGAAGGAUCAGCCAAGGUUGUGGUAAGCCAAGAUCGUGCCAUUGCACUCCAGCCUGGGCGACAGAGCAAGAACCUGUCUCA
rnacentral:sRNA from 1 species